GGAGAGUUGUCCGAGAGGCUGAAGGAGCACGAUUGGAAAUCGUGUAGACGGGGUAACCUGUCUCAAGGGUUCAAAUCCCUUACUCUCCGCCA
rnacentral:tRNA from 1 species